rnacentral:rRNA from 1 species
GAUUAUGGCUCAGGAUUAACGCUGGCGGCGUGCCUAACACAUGCAAGUCGAACGAAAUAUCUUCGGAUAUUAGUGGCGAACGGGUGAGUAAUGUACAGGUAAUGUACCUUCGUACUGCGAAUAACAAGCUGAAAAGUUUGCUAAUACGGAAUAGUUUCAUUAGGGGGCAUCCUUUGAUGAAUAAAGAUUUAUCGUGCGGAGAUCAGCCUGUAUCCUAUUAGUUAGUUGGUGGGGUAAUGGCCUACCAAGACGACGAUGGGUAACUGGUCUGAGAGGAUGAGCAGUCACAUUGGAACUGAGAUACGGUCCAAACUCCUACGGGAGGCAGCAGUGAGGAAUUUUGCGCAAUGGGGGAAACCCUGACGCAGCCAACGCCGCGUGAGUGAAGACGGCCUUCGGGUUGUAAAGCUCUGUCGUGUAUGACGAGUAGGGACGGUAAUACACAAGGAAGCCUCGGCUAACUACGUGCCAGCAGCUGC